rnacentral:rRNA from 1 species
AAAUCCGCCCAGGGUUAGCCGGUACCUAAGUCGAGGUCGAAAGGCGUAGACGAUGGACAACAGGUUAAUAUUCCUGUGCUGCUAUUUAACGUUUGAGCUUGGGAGGACGUGGACACAACGAUUAGCAAACCCAGUAGACAUGGUUUGUUCAAGCUGGAGAUGCCGCUCUAGGAAAAUCCGGAGCAAUAAGGUGUCGAAAGCGAGUACGUUGGCUCUUGGCCUAGAAGUAAUCUGAGUGUCUUCCAAGAAAAGUCUCGUUAGCGAGUUAACAUGGCAACCGUACUAAAACUGACACAGGUAGGCAAGGAGAGAAUCCUAAGGCGCUCGAGAGAACCCUCGUUAAGGAAUUCGGCAAACAUACUCCGUAACUUCGGGAUAAGGAGUGCCUUUUUAACUUCGGUUAAAAAGGUCGCAGUGAAAAAGGUCCGGGCGACUGUUUACUAAAAACACAGGUCUCUGCUAAAAUGUAUAAUUGAUGUAUAGAGACUGACGCGUGCUCGAUGCCAGAAAGUUAAGGGGAUAGGUUAUUUCCUGAGCAAUCAGGAGAGAAGCUUGGAACUGAAGCUCUGGUGAAUGGCGGCUCUAACUAUGAGAGUCCUAAGGUAGCGAAGUUCCUUGUCGGGUAAUUUCCGACGCGCAUGAAUCGCGUAACGACCUGGACACUGUCUCAACGAGGGACUCGGCGAAAUUGUAGUUGUGGUGAAGAUGCCACAUACCCGCGGAAAGACGGAAAGACCCCGUGAACCUUUACUGUAGCUUAUUAUUGGAUUUUGGCGCAGUAUGUGUAGGAUAGGUGGGAGACGAGGAAGUUUCGACGUAAGUUGGAAUGGAGUCAAUGGUGAAAUACCACUCUUACUUUGUUAAAAUUCUAAAGGAAUACCGUGAAUCCGGGUUCUUGACAGUGGUAAGUGGGCAGUUUGACUGGGGCGGUCUCCUCCAAAAAAGUAACGGAGGAGUCCAAAGGCUCCCUCAAUGCGGUUGGCAACCGCAUGUAGAGUGUAAAGGCAUAAGGGAGCUUAACUGCGAGACCUAUAAGUCGAGCAGGUGUGAAAGCAGGGCUUAGUGAUCCGGCGGUUUCUGAGUGGAAAGGCCGUCGCUCAACAGAUAAAAGGUACUCCGGGGAUAACAGGCUGAUCUCCUCCGAGCGUUCAUAGCGGCGAGGAGGUUUGGCACCUCGAUGUCGGCUCAUCGCAUCCUGGGGCUGAAGAAGGUCCCAAGGGUUUGGGAGUUCACCAAUUAAAGCGGUACGCGAGCUGGGUUUAGACCGUCGUGAGACAGGUCGGUCCCUAUCUUCCGUGGGCGUACGAUAUUUGAGAAAAUCUGCCUCUAGUACGAGAGGAUCGAGGUGGACGAACCUAUGGUGAGUCAGUUGUUGUGCUAACAGCAUGGCUGAGUAGCUAAGUUCGGAAAGGAUAAACGCUGAAAGCAUAUAAGCGUGAAGCCUGCUUUAAGACUAGAUAUCGUUCUCUAAUUUAUUAGGGUGAAGACAUCUUAAAGACUAUGAGAUUGAUAGGCCAGGUGUGUAAGUCCGGUAACGGAUUCAGCUAACUGGUACUAAUUUGUCGAAAAGCUUGAUCA